rnacentral:rRNA from 1 species
CCUACGGGUGGCAGCAGUGGGGAAUAUUGCACAAUGGGGGAAACCCUGAUGCAGCGACGUCGCGUGAGUGAAGAAGUAUCUCGGUAUGUAAAGCUCUAUCAGCCGGGAAGAUAAUGACGGUACCUGACUAAGAAGCCCCGGUUAACUACGUGCCAGCAGCCGCGGUCACACGGCGGGGGGAAGCGUUAUCCGGAAUUACUGGGGGGAAAGGGAGCGUAGGUGGCUGGGCAAGUCAGAUGUGAAAACUCUGGGCUCAACCCCGGGAGUGCAUUUGAAACUGUCCAGCUGGAGUGCAGGAGAGGUAGGCGGAAUUCGUGGUGUAGCGGUGAAAUGCAUAGAUAUUAGGAGGAACCCCGGUGGCGAAGGCAGCUUACUGGACUGUAACUGACACUGAGGCUCGAAAGCGUGGGGAGCAAACAGGAUUAGAUACCCUAGUAGUC